GGCGGCAUGCCUUACACAUGCAAGUCGAACGGCAGCAUGGGUGCUUGCACCUGAUGGCGAGUGGCGAACGGGUGAGUAAUACAUCGGAACGUACCCGGAAGUGGGGGAUAACGUAGCGAAAGUUACGCUAAUACCGCAUAUUCUGUGAGCAGGAAUGAGGGGGAUCGCAAGACCUCUCGCUUUCGGAGCGGCCGAUGUCGGAUUAGCUAGUUGGCGGGGUAAAGGCCCACCAAGGCAACGAUCCGUAGCGGGUCUGAGAGGAUGAUCCGCCACACUGGGACUGAGACACGGCCCAGACUCCUACGGGAGGCAGCAGUGGGGAAUUUUGGACAAUGGGCGCAAGCCUGAUCCAGCCAUGCCGCGUGAGUGAAGAAGGCCUUCGGGUUGUAAAGCUCUUUCAGCCGGGAAGAAAUCGCAUCUCCUAAUACGGGGUGUGGAUGACGGUACCGGAAUAAGAAGCACCGGCUAACUACGUG
rnacentral:rRNA from 1 species